GAAACAAGCCCGCCCGUAGGAACCCCACGAAAAAACAUCCUGAACUCGCCACCUCGCCUCCCUCCCGAGCACCGCCCGCCGCCACCCUCCUGUGCGCCGGCCACGGCCUCCCUAUUCCGCGUCGCCGGCCACCGCCUCCCUCCAGAGUGCCGCCCGCCGCGCCACCGACGGCCGCCGCAUCCCUCCCCUGCACCGACGGCCGCCGCAUCCCUCCCCCGCACCGACGACCGCCGCAUCCUUCCUUGCACCGACGGCCGCUGUAUCCCUCCCCCGUGCAGACGACCGCUGCAAGCUCCUCCCGCUCAUGGCCGCCGCAAGCUCCUCCCAUAUGCCAACCUCCACCCCGCCUUCCCCCUCCGUUCUCCCUCAUGCUCGGGCGCCAGCCAUCCUUCUUCCACGCGCGUGGCACCUCGAUCCACCGCCGGCCGAUCUCCCUCGUCCCGUUUGCUGGCUGUCGUCCAUGUCGUACCAUUUUUUCUGGAAGAAAACCAACUUGGACUUCGUUGACGGCCUUUGCACCAUUUUGAGUGCCGAUAGCUCCUUCCUUUGCCAUUGAUACAGCCAUCGACAUGUACUGAGUGUUCCUUUGCAAGUUCAAUUACUGUCAUCGCACAAGUUCAGAAGUUUGAUUUUGUGAAGAAGUAUGAAAAUUGUCAGUGCAAAUGUGGAAAACCAGAAAGUUCUAAUAAUGGUGUACCAAAAGUUCAAGGAUAGUAAUCCGGGGACAUUGGAGCAAUUGCUGAUGGAGGCGGAGUCAAAAUCUCGUGACUGUCUACUGCAGAUCUUCAGCAUGGACUUCAAUGAAUACACUCCUCUGAUGUUAAUGCGCUUCUGCAUUUUAAUAAAGAAGUUACAGAAUUUCAGUUCCUCGGUACUUAUAAGAUCUUGAGAGGAUGACAGAGGAUGCCCAUGUGUACUAUGUACAAGCCAGCCAGCCAUAUGUAUAAGGAUCCAAUGGAAGACUGGAUUUGGUUGUUGUUAAUUAGCAGCCACCUAAGCCUAGCAAUUGACCGUGGAGCACGUACUGGAUCCCUGAAAUGAUGCAAUUAGUCAUCAGUGUUGACGACUAAUUUAUUUUGUUUUGUACAAGUUAAAACAUCAGUGGCCAUAGGGAAGGAGACCUUCCCAAAUCGUGCCCCUGGACAAUGCAACAACGAAUUGGACGCCGUUUCCGCCUCUCUUCCAGCAGCGCCGAUGUCCCCUUCUAGCUCAGCACCGGUUUCCCCGCCUCGUGAUACGGUCUGCAGUUGCUUGUGAGUUGUCUGCUAGGUGUUGUUUAAGUGUCACAGACGACGUGUUGUCUCCUGGCAUCUGGAUUAGCUGCCGACUGCAAAUAAAAGCACGAGGGAGGCUGGAGCGACUGUAUACCGGUGACGAGAACCACUCUUCAGUUCUGCUAUUCGUGUAUUGGAAGUACGUAUCCUCUAUCAAGGCAGGAGGUAGAGUACAAGUUUGGAAGGCCGGGAAGUUCUACCGCUGGCAUACACCAAGUUCAGAGACGUUGCACGGAGUGAGCCGACGCCGCCGUAAAAAAUGGUUUAUUAGCAUACUGUUUUUUGGUACUUAUGCAUACAGUUGUAGAAGUGAAAUUUGUUGGGUGCAUGUGCAGAAAAAUCGUCAGUUCAGUUUUCAAAAUUCUGUAAGUUUGUUUUGAUUCUAUAAAAUUCUGUAAUUUUCUCGUG